UUCUUCUUGAUUCACUAUUUGUUGGUUAUAUGGAGGAGAGGGGUGGAUCUGAAAAUGGGAAGCCGACUGCUGAAGAAUAUGAGGCGGAAUUUACAAAAAAAAACAAAACUUUUUUUUCCACUAAGUAAUACUCCAUCCGUUUCAAUUUAUGUAAACCUAUUUUCUUUUUUAGUCCGUGCCAAAAUGAAUGACCUCUUUCCUAAUUUGGAAACAAAUUCACUUUAUGAAAUGAUUUACAGCCACACAAAUAUUUAAGACUUAUUUUGAACCACAAGUUUCAAAAGUCUUCACUCUUUCUUAAAUGUCGUGCCCAAUCAAUGGGUUCACAUAAUUUGAAACGGAGGGAGUACUUAGUAGGUGAUAUUUUAAUAAGAUAAAGAAAUAAUAAGAGAUACAAAUAGAAAAAGAACGAAAAAAGGAAAGUGAAAAAAAAAAAAACAAUAAAAACCAAAUGAAGACAACUUAGGUGUCUAAAUCCUCAAAACUCAACCGACGCCGCCCCUAAAAUCUCUCCACCUUCUUUUUAACCAUCAAUGUCGUCGGAGCUAACAACAAAAACCAAAUAAAAACAACUUAGUUGCCUAGAUCCUCAAAACUCGACUGACGCUGCCCUUAAAAUCUCUCCACAUUCUCUUUAACCAUCAAAGUCGUCGGAUCUAUUAGAUUGGAAACAAGAUCGUUGAAGCUAGGUUCUCCGCCCAUAAGGCUAGAGGCUCAAUCAUUGUAGCUGCACGUGCCGAUUUCAGGCUAUCGAAUUUCAUAGCUUUGGUUGCUUUUCUUUGAGCCGAGGGUCUAUCAGAAACAACCUCUCUACCUUCCAAGGUAGGGAAGAAGAUUCAAUAGCAGCAGCAUCUUAGAGAACAAUUUUGACAUACCCUUGAUGUAGUAUCCAUAUGAUGAACGUUCAUUGAUGAAGAGGCAUUAUCUUCUUCCAUUGGAGAUGGAGCCGUUGAGCGUUCUGUAGCAGUAGUUGGUGAUACAAGCAGCACAGCUCCAAGACCAAUCUCAUUUGGAGGAAUAUUUCUGGUCUUUCCAUAAAUUAUAAUAUUGUCAUCAUCGGCAGAUAAGUUUUCAGAGCCUGGUUCCUGUAGAAUGUUAAAAAGUUGCCUCUGGAGUCUUUCCACAGGUGACAAAAUGUGUUGUCUAAGCUCUGAUCUCUUUCUUCUUGGGACAUUGUCGGGAUUCCAGAGAGGAUAUUUGUCUGCUUCUCCUAACAAAAGGUGAACGUUAGUGCACAUAAAUCAAUAAGGUAUUAAUAUAAUAAAUCUUUUCUUGGGGGUUAAGCUUUUAUUAUUUGCAUGGUUAAAGUAUAGUUGCACUGGUCAAUUCAUAUCUUUAUUGAAAAUCCAAAUUACCUAAAAUUUGUCAAUGUCAGUUCAUUGUGUAAAAGAAAGUAAGUUUUCGAAGCUUAGGGGAGACACUAUAAUUAAUGGCCUUUGAGCGAGAAAGAAAGCCAAUAUUUUGUUUAUAGAGUAUUAUAUAGUGAUUGCUUCCCUACUGCUUGUUUGGUAAAACCCUGAAUGUGAUUUGACAUUGCAUAAUUUGAAAAGACAUCACAAUAAUUGGGAAACGAAAGGACUUUCCUGCGUAAAAAUAAAUCUGAGUGUCGUGAAUCUUGAAACAUGCUUAUCAAGUUGUCUUAGAGCUCAUGGUGUAAGUGAUUCUUUUGAGUAUUAGAUACUAGUGAAAUCCGAACAUAAAACAACCACUUGGAAAAUGGGAGAAUGCUGAUGAAAUUUUUUGUUUCACUGUUAAAUUUGUUAUGUAAGGUCUGUAGAUUCUUCCCCUGUUUUCGAUCCCUUUUUUUUUUUUUUUUUUAAAAUCAGAAGACUACGCGCUGCAUGAUUACUUUUUGGGAAGGUGCAUCUAGAAUGAUUUGGUUACCUGAUUUCUAUUUCAUAAUUUUCUUUGAGACUAAGAGUUUUGGGCUUACUACCAAGCAAAACAGAAGAAAGAAAUUGUCCAGAAAUUGAAUAGGAAGAUAUUAGUUUUCCAUAUUUUUGUAUCCUUUAUGCUCAAGGAAGCGUUUGAUUCAGAACGUGCAUCAUAUUUGCCGAGACAAGUUAAGUGCUCUAUAUAUAAUUGAAACUAUUUUACCAUUUGUUUCUUCCAUCUGCAUGCAGUUGUUUGAUGAUGAUCCUGCUGAACCUAAGCUUGAUAUGUUAUUCAUUGCCUCAUCAAGACAAGCUGAAGAGCCAUCCUGUCCAGCAACCUCUACUCCAACUUCUAGCUGUUGGUCAUCACGAGCUAAGAGACGCGGCUUCAUCUCAGAAGGUAACUGAUAGCUCUGUAUUUCUCUGUUUGCGUGUUUGGGAAUAUAGUCAUCUAGCGUCCCCCUAGUCCGCCAUCUUGAUCCACAUGCAUUGCAGAGCACUGGUUUUCCAGAUGGCCCGGUUCUCCAAAGGGGGGUUUCUGUUUGAGUUCACAAUUAGUUAGUGUUUAAACUGGGACAAAAUAUGAACACAUUCUUACAGGUCAGAAACUUAUCUCAGAAACUAAAGCACAAUGAUCAUUGACUAUUAAGAUUUUUUGUAAAAAGGUAUAGAAUGUAUUGCACGAGAGCGUCACAAAACAGGGUAUGUUUAGCGGGGAAUUCUUUUGGCAAAACAAGGGGAAAUAUCUUUCUGUGAAACAUGCAUCGACUUUUAGGAUGUGUCAACUGUUUUUGUACUCACAUGUUCACCGCCGUGUUAAGGAACCAUACAAAAUAGUCAAACUUUGAGCUUGAUGGCGGAAAGAUUGAAAAGGAUUUGCUUGAUAUGUUAAGGAACGAUGCAAAAUAGUUAACCUGGCAAACUUGCAUUUAAUUGCAUGAUAUUUUAAGGAGUUUCUAUAGUUAUAGAUAGAGUGUCAAGCAUAUUCGCUUCAGUUUAUUCAUAUCUCCUCUAGCUGUGUGGCACCUGCUUGCAUUUCUUUCUCUCAAAUCUAACUUUCAGUACUGCAAGUCUGUUAAUGGUUUGAGAACCUGCAGGAUCUUAAAGGAUAUCUUACUACUAGAAGACCACAUGUCAAAUAGAAAUAUGGUAACAAUGUCAUUGUCUUUUAUUUUGGUUUCAUCACUCCCAUCUUGAAGGAAAAGAGUUGUCCAGAUCCAUGCCUUGUCAUAGUAUCAAAGAAACUGGAGUAUAGCCAUGACAAGUAUGCAAUUAAAGACUUAUUACAUGGUGUGAACAUUAUAAUUGGAUAGAUUGCUGAUGACUAUCCUGGCCUUUGAACACUCGGUGAACAAAUAUAAACUUCUUUGUUUAUGGUCUUUAAGUUUCUUCAACGUGUGGACUCGGGACAACCGUGUGAAGGAAGUUUUAUCUCGGGUUAAAGUAGCUCGAGAAUAGCAUGCGUGCAUUCAGGACCUUUUCCCCUCCUUGUUACUUGCCAUUAUGAAUCCAACUGUCUAUGAAUAACUUUUUCUCAGAAAGUUCAGAAUGUACAUCAUCUAGAACUUAAGGACCACAGUUGUCAAAAAGAUUAAAUAAAUGGCGACUAAAUGUGCAUGGAUGCCAGAGAUUGGGGACCGAAUCUGCAAUUUAUCCUAGAUGACCUCAGUUCCUGUUAGACUAAUGGCUGCUGUGUUGAAAAUCAAUUAACACUUGGCUCGAGGUGAGAGAAUCAAAGUACUCCAUGUUUUAUGUUUAACAGAUAGGCAAUUUAGGGAAAUUUGGGUAUUUAGUGUUUCAUGCAUGUGACUCUUCAAAGUUUAUUUGUUGUAACAUCAGGCACAUUGAAUCUAAGCAUCACUGAAUCAAGUAUCCUGUAAAGCAUAGGAUUAUUGAUAAACAUAAAAGGUGGGAUAUAGGUGGUCAAUAGAACUUACGCUCGAUGCCACAAUGGAAACAUGGCCCUUCUCUACCCAUAAAAUCUGGUUCUGAAUGAUUCAAGUUCAAAUCAGGUUGAACGUGCUGCUGCUAAACCAAGAGAGUGCGAUUUGCUCUCUAAAUCUAAAAUGUCUGAGUGAGUCAGCGAGGUGACAAAUCACAAGAUAUACGUAAACAGAUAAGAGAUCGGUUAACUAGAGCUGGUCAUUCCCAUGGAGAUAGCUGAAAUCAUGAUAGAGUUGUCAGUUUACCUUCCUCAAAAAAAGAAGAUAGACUUGUCAUUAACAUCGAUCUAUUCUGAACUAUGCUGCUUUCCUUUAUGAUAGCUCAUCAACAUUGAUUACUGUAAUUUCUCAUCUAUUUACACUAUAUCUCCAAUGAGAGAAGUCUUAGAUUCUCUAUUGAAAGAAAAUGGGGUUGGCAUUUAGGGGGUGGAGUGGGGUGAAAGCUGGAUUUUGUGAAUCUUGCUGAUUUUAGGCCUUUAGUCUAGCGGUCAAGGCUUGUUGAGCAACAAAUCUUAAGGCAAGAAAGAAUGACUACAUUCAGUUUAUUUGCAUUUAUUGCUUUUUGCCAUUUGUUUCCCCUUGCUAGUGUACAAUAAUCAAAUAAAUAGUUUUGCCUAAAUAUAAGGUGAUCUCAUUAACACUCUGCAGGUGAGAUUGAAGUCCAUACAGGUGGCUGCGUAGCUGAUAAUUGGAUAGAUUUCCUAUUUGGCGACAGUUUCCUUGCUAUUGAGAUGCAGCAACGACACUUAUUUUUUCUACUUUACCAUCUUGCACAUUUAUCUGUUGCCAUUGACCGUAUUUCGUGUAUCUAGGGAUAUGGUUUUUCCUUUAUGUCAUGCUUACUGACCAAAUAACAACCACUAUUGUCAAGCAAGUUGGGGCGACUCCAUGGAUCUUUAUUAUCUGGCUUCAUUUAAGCUCAUCUCAUCAUGCUUACUGAUGUAAAAAUACUUGUUUCGUAUUUAGGAUUACUAACAUAUUACACAUGCAUAAUGUGUAGAAUAUCACUGGCUUUGUGUACUGCUAUGUGAUGCCGAAAAAUGUGUUUGUUGACAUGGGAAGAGGAGAAGCAUGCUGAUCUUAGUUGUGUGCAUAAUCUUCUUGUAUCCAUUUAGUGGCAUGAUACUGUAGGGAUUUUUUCUUAUGACACUCUUGCAUGGAUGUAGAAUUUGGUUAUAAACUUCACAACUGCUAAGGGGAAAUGCAACACAUGGUGCCUGAGAGAGGUAGUUUUUCUGGUCUUAAUGGUUCAGUAAAGCUAGCAUUUAAUCUAAAAAUUA